GGGGAUUUAGCUCAGCGGCAUAAGCGCCUGCCUUGCAAGCAGGUAGUCGUGACUUUGAUCCCCA
rnacentral:tRNA from 1 species